rnacentral:lncRNA from 1 species
UUAAGUUUAAAACUCUUGCAAGCACUUUUAAUUGAUUAGGAAUGAAUUCUAGAUGCACAAAAUGAUUGGACUGUGAACAGUAAUACAACUAUAUCUAAGAACAAUUAACUUUUGCUGGCCAAAAAAGAAACUUAUGAUUGCAUGAAAAUGUGUAUAAAACAUCUAUAGAGUAUUCUUGUCAAAUAUAAAUGAAAUUAACUUUAUUAUAGAAAUCAUUCUGAGGAUUUCUAGGGAAGACAAAUACUUACAUUUUGACAUAAAACAAAUUGGAUUAUAUCAAAGACACACUCUACCUUUCAGCUAUCAACUUUUUUCUUCCUUGAAUUUAUAUCUUACCCUUUUUUUUGCACAUAAACUUCAUCUGUUAACAACCUUUGGAAAACCAACAGAUAUUUCUUACAUAAAUCUAGUGCAUGUUGUUCCAGGUUUAAUUAUAUGCAAGGAAUGAUACAAACGUGGAACAUCAGUCCAUAAACUAUGAACAGAUGGGUAGAAGUAUUCCAUAUAUCUUGAUAAAACUCUUAAAUUCGUGGCAAAGCUUGUCGAUCAUGAUUUCCUUUUUUUUUUAAACAACUUCAUGAUCAACAGAGAUCAAACAUCCAUCCAGUCUACGUUGUUCUUUUUUCAUUAUAACAUACAAAUGCCCAUUUACAAAUAAUACACCAAAAUGAAUAAAAGUUUGGAUACCAAAAUGAAGAUUUGUUCCAACUGACAUCGUGCCUUCUGUAUACAAAGGUCCUUGUUUUCAAGUCCAUUCCCCAGUGGUACCACACAGGACACAACCGCAGAACCGAAGUGCUUCUAACAGCCACUUUUCUUUCCUUCCUGAACGCCCAACUGCUGUGUCCACAUAGUCACUGACUGAAUUAACACAAUAUA